AUGGGGGCAAAGAAGCAAGCAAGGAAUCGCAUAUAUCGUGUUGUGUGCACUUACUCGUUGCUUUACUUUGGAGGAGGUUCGGAGGACGGCACAAUAGCUAGCUCCGUUGAGGUGUCACGGGCCACACAACCACCACUCCAUGGCCACACCAUAGCAACACCUCCUUCCUCCUCCGUCUGGAUCGCUUGCAGUUUCGGUCGCGCUCUUGCCUUAGGAUUGAUCGAUCCAAGGAAGAAUACAGAUCGUCCCUCGUCCGCGGUCGGUUGCGCUUGCGCCCUCUUGUGCCGAUUUUGCUGCUCUUUCUUCAACUACGGCCGAAGGAGCUUCUCCAUCAUGUUAACAGAGUAUCAGCUUGUGGAGCGGCCUGAGAGGAGGAAGAGAGGAUGCAAAGCGCCCGAAGAAGGUGGCCAAGGAGGAGGUGAGGCGAAACGCUUUAACAAGAUGGUUCGCUGCUCACUAGGAGAGGUGAAGACGUGUGCAAAAAUGCUACAACUUAGGCACAAGAUGAGGGUUAUCAAGGCUGGUUUUGGUUGUGUGUUUGACCUGAAGGUUGAUUCCAACAUUUCUCGUCCUUUGAUGGGCAACAUCUACACGAGGAUUGACCAUGCAACCAUGAUUCUGGACAUGGGUGAGGCGAACAAGGUUCUGCGUAUUACAAGUGAUGCUAUUCACCAUCUGUUUGGAUUCUCUCAAGGUAAUCGUACCCCUCCUAGGCCUUCGAGUGAUGGGUUUGAUGAUGCUGUUAUGAGGUUGAAGGGAAAGCUUGGGUACGCUAGGAGUGACGACAUCAAGACAAAGGAUCUGCGGAAUAUCCUCGCGGAUCUUGUGAAGGAUGAGACGAAGGAUGAUCUUGCUCUGCAGGUGUUUUACCUGAUUAUUUUCAUGAAGGUGGUUAUCCCUGGAACGUCUACACGAGUGUCCAGGGAGGCAGCAAUGGCUGAGAAUCUUAUGUUUGAGGACAUGGCAGAUAUGGACUACUGCCAAGGAAAAGCUGUCACAGGCUGUGCCAUCGUGCCGCUUCUUAUGUACCUGGACUGCCUUAUCAUUGGCAAGACGCCUAAUGUUGACUUGAGGAUGCCUCGCAUCAAUUACAUGGAUCAUGCCAAGCUUCUUGAGCUCGUUGCGGCUGACUUGGUCAGGAAAGGUGAUGACGACCCAGCCAACUGGGUGUUUGGGAGACUACCUUAUCAGUUGUGGGUUAUCGAACGUCCUAUUCUUACUAUGCCUCGUGCUGCCGGCCUAGGUAGUGGAAGUUCUCCGAGAUUUGAAUUCUCGCGGGAUGUUAACACUGGUGCCCCCUGUAGAUCUAGGAGGUUCUUCUGCCCGUGUGAGUGCUGCAGGAUUGUUGGACUUCUAGAAACUGUUUGGGGAGAGAUGGCUCGUGUUCUGACAACGGUUGAGCGUGUUAGUUGCAUGGAUGGGAUUCUUCCUCCCGGCCACGGUUUUGAUGCUGAGUCUUCGAAGGAGAUUUUUUUGAUUGAAGCUAAAUAUCUUGCUGAGCUUCGUGAGAGCACUUCCCACCUCCGGGCUAGUUUUAUGUUGUUCAAGGAAAUGCAGGACGCCCGUUGCAAGCCUUUUGAAGAUGAGACAAGUGUUGUUGUGAGAGAGAUUCAGAGGCAGGACCCCGUUCGUUUGGGUCAUGAAGGAGGCCAUGUGGAGCGUACUGAAGAGGCUGUUGAUGAUGGUGCUGGGGUUAGGGAGGAUGUUUUACCUGUGCAUGAAGAUGAUCAUGUGCAUGAAGCUGCCCAUGUGCAUGAUCCUUGCCCCUCUAGUGAUGUAUUAGUUGAUGAGGUUCAUGGUAGUGAAAAUAAGCAGCAUAAUGAUGAUGUUAGUGUUGCUCUAGAGAAGGCUGCAGACAUGUCCGUCUCAGGCGCCGGCUGCUUCGACGGGGUGGUCCUGACUGAACCUCAGUCGUCCGUUGGCGCUGAGGUUUCUGAUGCUAAGAAGGGCAAGACAACUGGAGACAUCAUUUUGGAGAAAGAUCAUGUUGAGUCUGCUGUACAAACUGGUGAUUCUCCGGUUGCUACAGCUGCUGCUGGUGUCCUUCGCGACGACACUGCAACGUCUACUGGAGACGACGAUGAAGAUACCGAAAGCGAUAGCUAUGGAGAGGAGGUUGAUCAUUCUAGUGCUGCCACUGAUAACGACCUUGCUGUCGUCCGAAAGAAGGUUGAUGACUUUUAUUACAGUGUAACUAGGUUUAGGAAUGAUCGUUCCAAGAGAUCAAUGAUUAUGUUCCAAAACAAGGAGUGCGAAGCUUCUGUUGAAGAUGUCACAAUAUCUUUUGGUCCUCGCGGAAUGCUUCGGUCUAUUGUGUGUGAGUGUGCACUCUACUGUCUAAGUGCGAAGUACCAGGGAUCAGACAAACUCAUCCUGCCGUAUUGGGUUUGUGACAAGAUUUUCAGAGGUCAAUUUGAUUCCCGUGUGAGGAAGUACUUCAUGGCGAGUGGUCCAGAUAGCAUGGAUGCACAUGAUUCGGUUGUUUUCCCUACUUUUGACCCGCCUGAGGUUCCUGCUUCCAUGGGUGGUGUCAGUCAUUGGGUGUCGGUAUUCCUUGACCUGAAGAAUUCAAGGCUUUGGAAGGAUGCCAGCAACGACAGGGAGACACCCUUCAGUCCAGUUAGCAUCGACAAUUUCCCUCUGGAUUGGAUUGAUGUCCCCCAGCAGCAAAACAAUAUCGACUGCGGAUUCUUCAUGCUUACGAAUGUUAAUUCGUAUCAUGACGGGGUUCUUGCAAAUUAUUCCCAUGAGAAUAUUGGGGAUAUCAGGAAGACGUGGCUAUACUCAAUCGCUUCUUCUAACCUGUUUGAGACAGACUUCCAAUCUCUGUUUGGCUACUACACAUUGGAUCCGUUGGAGUUCACCUAUUACCACUACUCAUUCCUCGGGUCACAGGAAUACCAGCCUAGGGAGGAACCGAUGAGUACAUCUCCGAUAGAAGAUGAUAGACCUCAGACCCUCAUUCCUUCCAAGAAGGCUGAUGCAGUCGAAGCAGCCGAAGCAGAAGUGAUUUCGUCCGAUGAUGAUUUUGAGAAGAUUGCUUACCCGAAGAAUGUUAAACGUGCUGCUGGAACUGUUGCUGGUAGAGGUGGGAAGAAUGCUGUGAUGACCAGGAGGAAACCGGCAGUUGAGUCUGGGAACAUAACUACCUCCAAGCGAGCAUCAAGAUUGCCUUUGAAGUGGCGUUCUCCUGUCGCUCCCCUGAAAAAAUACAGUUACCCUCAUUUAUCCGAGGCCCGGAAGUUGAAACAGUAUGUGCUGAGUAAAGACGGUCUAGAGAAGUAUUCUGGGACAUGCUACUGCAUGUUUACCAUCCCUGGGAAUGUGAUUGACCUCACAGGAGAUUUCCUUUAUAGGCUUUUCGGUGAAGGGCAGCAGAUGGAAGGAGACAUAAUGGAUUAUCUCAUAAAUUUGUGGAAGGAUAAGCCGGAGACCUCUGAGAUAUUCUCUAAUGCUGACAGGGUUUACUGCCCGGAGUAUGAUUUCUACGCCGCAACAGUUCCAAAGUUCGAUGCAAAAAAUUCGGCAAACUCCUCCCAAUGUUUGUUCGCAAGGAAGAAGACCUUCUUAACGCAAAGCUGUUUGUGUUCACUGGUCCUUUCAUUCUUGGCAGGUUUUAUUGAUUCUAUUCAAGCCAAUUGGCACAAUGGCGCACUACAGUGUAUGAAGAGAUUUGUUGGGUUGCUUGAGGAGGUGUACGGCAAGGCUGCAUACAAGGCGAGCAAGCAGCCUAACUGGGUGACUAUUGCAAAGAGGCCGACUUUCAUCGAUGUUCCGAAGCAGAAGAAUAAUGAUUGUGGUUUCUUUGCCGUGAAGUUCAGCUCUUCGUAUGACGGCGAUGAGGUUGUUGAAGAUUUUGAUGAUGUGGAAGCUGCUGCAGAUGACUGGAAGGCUGAGUUCAUGCACACUCUGGUUUUUAGCGAGAGGAAUGAAGUCAUGCGUUCAGAGCUCCCUAAUAAGAUCCAGUCCUUUGGCCCGUGA
rnacentral:rRNA from 1 species